rnacentral:rRNA from 1 species
UACGGGGGGGCAAGCGUUGUUCGGAAUUACUGGGCGUAAAGGGCUUGUAGGUGGCCAACUAAGUCAGACGUGAAAUCCCUCGGCUUAACCGGGGAACUGCGUCUGAUACUGGAUGGCUUGAGUGUGGGAGAGGGAUGCGGAAUUCCAGGUGUAGCGGUGAAAUGCGUAGAUAUCUGGAGGAACACCGGUGGCGAAGGCGGCAUCCUGGACCAUAACUGACACUGAUAAGCGAAAGCCAGGGGAGCAAACGGG